rnacentral:lncRNA from 1 species
AAAUCAGCCCCCAGUUCAGACAUCGCCACAGCCCAGACACUGACAGCACCAGGCAUUUUACAGAGAAAGGCGAAGGUGCUUUUGUUUUUUUCCCAACCUCCCGAUCUCUCCGGGCUUACGUCACAGGGAAAACCGCCUGGUUUCUUGGCCCCGCUUGGCCAGUGUCUGCUCUUUGCCAUCUUCUACCACUGGGGUCUUGAGCUGAGAAGGCUGGGUCAGGGCAGAUCCAACAACCCCCGCGAGCAGCCCGCCUGCAGAAGUGGGGCCAGGUUCUGGUCGGCCUCAUGCUGCCCGCUCCCCUCUCUCUCCUGCAGCCGGGGCUCCGCCUGCAUUUUGUGGAGCAGGGCUCAGGCCCCGCGGUGUGCCUCUGCCAUGGGUUUCCUGAGAGCUGGUUCUCCUGGAGGUACUAGAUCCCUGCUCUGGCCCAGGCGGGCUACCGGGUCCUGGCUGUGGACAUGAAGGGCUAUGGAGAGUCGUCUGCCCCUCCCGGUGGGUUGGCCAUGCUGCAGGGGUCCUGGGUGGCCCUGCCUUGUCCUGGCUGAGCUCCCCAGCCUCUCUGUGCUUUCCCUGCCCUAGGUCAGAGUGGGCAGCCCUGCAAGGGGGUCUCACAGCACCCCCUGCUCCCCUGCAGUGUCCCGGGUGGAUACUUUGGGGCCACAGUGGUCCCUGCUCCCUGCACUCUGAAUGAACAAAGGGAACCCCAAGGGAGCCUCCACUGAUCGCUGUGGAUGCAGGACACGGAACCAUCCAUCUCCAGAACUUUGUUUUCUCCAGAGCGUUUGCAUCUUACAAAACUGAGAGCCUACGGUCAUUGGACAGUAAUUCCUCAGUUCUCCCUCACCCUCCCCUGCAAUGCAACCACUGUUCUCAUUUCUUUCUCUAUGACUUUGACUUCCUAGGUGCCUCAUGGGAGUGGGAUCUUACAGUGUUUGUUCUUUGGUAACUGGCUUCUUUCACUUAGCGUAGUAUCGUCAGGGUUCAUCCACACUGCAGCAUUUGCUAUAAUCUCCUUUUUCAAGGCUGAAUACUAUUUCACUGCCCUUGUAAGCCACAGUCUGCUUCUCCAUUCACCUUCGAUGAGCCCUUCUGUUGCCUCUACCUUUUGGCUGUGGUGAGCAGAGCUGCAGCGCCCCUGGUUUCAGUUCUUCUGGGCACCUGCACCCAGAAGAGUUGCUGGAUCCUACG